UACGGAGGGGGCAAGCGUUAUUCGGAAUCAUUGGGCGUAAAGGGCGCGUAGGCGGCUUAGUAAGUUGAAGGUGAAAUCCCUCGGCUCAACCGGGGAACUGCCUUCAAAACUGCUUGGCUAGAGUCCGGGAGAGGGUAGCGGAAUUCCCAGUGUAGCGGUGAAAUGCGUAGAUACUGGGAGGAACACCGGUGGCGAAGGCGGCUACCUGGACCGGUACUGACGCUGAGGCGCGAAAGCGUGGGGAGCAAACAGG
rnacentral:misc_RNA from 1 species